GGUCGAUUAGCUCAGUUGGUUAGAGUGCUACGUUGACAUCGUAGAGGUCACUAGUUCGAAUCUAGUAUCGACCACUA
rnacentral:tRNA from 1 species